rnacentral:lncRNA from 1 species
AUGAUAUUCACAUAUGACAACAACCAUUGUCAAAUGAUUGUAGUGAGCAUUUUCCUCAGUGGCACUUUUCCUUGGUAGAAAAUGAAUUUUGUGCAUGUCAUCAAAUUGUACCUGAGAAAUCCCUCAUUCAAAGCUCAUGUCUUUUUACAAGUGCCCUCUCUGCAUUACUUUGUGAUCUUUGCCCCAACUGCUGCUUCCCAUCUAUUUAUCUGAUGUCACCACAGUCAAAAGUAGACUUGUGCAAAUGAUCUCCUGCUCACAUUGUCUUCCUUUAUGAAACUACAGGUAGCCUCUGCAGCCAAUGAGAAAUGUAAGUAUUCUCAGCUCCCUAACAUGCUGAGUAAAACCUCUAUAUUUACAUAGGUCAGACAUUCCUUCCAGUUUCUAUGUAAAAAGUUACCCUGAAUUCAGAUUUCUUUUGGAAAUGAGCAUUGGGAUGUGGUGAAAAAGUGAUAAUCCAGUGAAGGAUUAUGGCAAUCUAUUAUGAUCCUGAAACAAGCUGUCUUUUGGGUGGUGUGCAUUUAUGUGAAUGAGCUUAUGGAGGUAUCUCUGAGCAUGUCCAUGUGUAAUAAUUGUAUAUGCGUUUAUCAGGCUGUAGGAGCUUCUUCAGAAAUUCUCUUCUAACAUGCCCAGCACAAGCAUCCAUUUUCUAAAGAUAAAAACCCAUACUAAUGCAUUAUUUGUUUGAUAUAAUUCCUUCCUACUUCAUGACACCCAGAUCUAAAGUUCUGGUUACUAGGCCCUCUCUGUAGACAGAGAUGAUACUGAGCCAAAAGAUCCAGGUUCUUUACUCUGUAAGUGAAAGAAGCAUUAAGAAUUCAGGAAAUUGUCCUUACGGUGAUGCUUUGGCAUACGGAACUGUAUUCAUCACUUAGCAAUAUAUCAUACUCCAGGUUAUUCCAAUAUAUUAGUGUACUCAUAUCUCCUACAGAGAUGUGAAAUAUUU